GAUGAACGCUAGCGACAGGCCUAACACAUGCAAGUCGAGGGGCAGCAUAUGCGUAGCAAUACAAUGGUGGCGACCGGCGCACGGGUGAGUAACACGUAUGCAACCUACCUGUAAGAGGGGAAUAACCCGGAGAAAUUCGGACUAACACCGCAUAAUACCGAUUAACUGCAUGGUUGAUCGGUUAAAUAUUUAUAGCUUACAGAUGGGCAUGCGUAACAUUAGAUAGUUGGUGAGGUAACGGCUCACCAAGUCAACGAUGUUUAGGGGUUCUGAGAGGAAGGUCCCCCACACUGGUACUGAGACACGGACCAGACUCCUACGGGAGGCAGCAGUGAGGAAUAUUGGUCGAUGGGCGAGAGCCUGAAACAGCCAAGUCGCGUGAAGGAAGAAGGUUCUAUGGAUUGUAAACUUCUUUUGUAAGGGAAUAAAAAAGCUUACGUGUAGGCUAUUGUAUGUACUUUACGAAUAAGGAUCGGCUAACUCCGUGCCAGCCGCCGCCGUAA
rnacentral:rRNA from 1 species